CUGCAGCUAUCGAAAGAUGGCGGGUCUUUGAAAAUCGUGUACAUGGGGCAUCGAAGAUGGCUCGAGAAGGAUGGCCCAUGGAGAAAGCGUGGAGAUCUAUUCAAUGGUAAGGCUGAGCAUCGAGGUCCUCCACAUAAGCGUAGCGGUGCAGAAAUAUAUGAGUUAUUGAAGAACUGGGAAGAGUGCCCCUCGCCGGGAAAGACGAAGAAAAAGGCGCCAGAGCCCCUGCUGAAGAUAUGGAAGACGAGAUCUGUUUUCUGGGACUUGGAAUACUGGCCCAUA
rnacentral:rRNA from 1 species